rnacentral:rRNA from 1 species
UACAGCGAAACUGCGAAUGGCUCAUUAUAUAAGUUAUCUUGUUUAUUUGAUAGUGCCUUACUACUUGGAUAACCGUGGUAAUUCUAGAGCUAAUACAUGCUAAAAACCCCGACUUCGGAAGGGGUGUAUUUAUUAGAUACAAAACCAAUGCCCUUCGGGGCUCUUUGGUGAUUCAUGAUAACUAUACGAAUCGCACGGCCUUGCGCCGGCGAUGGUUCAUUCAAAUUUCUUCCCUAUCAACUUUCGAUGUUUGGGUAUUGGCCAAACAUGGUUGCAACGGGUAACGGAGGGUUAGGGCUCGACCCCGGAGAAGGAGCCUGAGAAACGGCUACUACAUCCAAGGAAGGCAGCAGGCGCGCAAAUUACCCAAUCCCGACUCGGGGAGGUAGUGACAAUAAAUACUGAUACAGGGCCCUUUCGGGCCUUGUAAUUGGAAUGAGUACAAUUUAAACCCCUUAACGAGGAACAAUUGGAGGGCAAGUCUGGUGCCAGCAGCCGCGGUAAUUCCAGCUCCAAUAGCGUAUAU